GACGAACGCUGGCGGCGCGCCUAACACACGCAAGUCGAACGAGCGAGAGAGAGCUUGCUUUCUCGAGCGAGUGGCGAACGGGUGAGUAACGCGUGAGGAACCUGCCUCAAAGAGGGGGACAACAGUUGGAAACGACUGCUAAUACCGCAUAAGCCCACAGGUCGGCAUCGACCAGAGGGAAAAGGAGCAAUCCGCUUUGAGAUGGCCUCGCGUCCGAUUAGCUAGUUGGUGAGGUAACGGCCCACCAAGGCGACGAUCGGUAGCCGGACUGAGAGGUUGAACGGCCACAUUGGGACUGAGACACGGCCCAGACUCCUACGGGAGGCAGCAGUGGGGAAUAUUGCACAAUGGGGGAAACCCUGAUGCAGCGACGCCGCGUGGAGGAAGAAGGUCUUCGGAUUGUAAACUCCUGUUGUUGGGGAAGAUAAUGACGGUACUCAACAAGGAAGUGACGGCUAACUACGUGCCAGCAGCCGCGGUAAAACGUAGGUCACAAGCGUUGUCCGGAAUUACUGGGUGUAAAGGGAGCGCAGGCGGGAAGACAAGUUGGGAGUGAAAUCUAUGGGCUCAACCCAUAAACUGCUUUCAAAACUGUUUUUCUUGAGUAGUGCAGAGGUAGGCGGAAUUCCCGGUGUAGCGGUGGAAUGCGUAGAUAUCGGGAGGAACACCAGUGGCGAAGGCGGCCUACUGGGCACCAACUGACGCUGAGGCUCGAAAGUGUGGGUAGCAAACAGG
rnacentral:rRNA from 1 species